rnacentral:rRNA from 1 species
CCAAACUGUUGCUUCGGCGGAAUCUCUGCCCGGGGUGCGUCGCAGCCCGGCACCAAGGCGCCCGCCGGAGGACCAACCAAAACUCUUUUUGUAUACCCCCUCGCGGGUUUUUUUAUAUUUGGACCUUCUGGGCGCCUUUCGUAGGGGUUUGGGAAAAGGAAUCAAAACUUUCAACCAAGGGAUUUCUUGGUUCGGGCAUCGAAGAAGACCGAAGCGAAAUGCGAAAAGUAAUGUGAAUUGCAAGAAUUCAGUGAUCCAUCGAAUCUUUGAACGCACAUUGCGCCCGCCAGUAUUCUGGCGGGCAUGCCUGUCCGAGCGUCAUUUCAACCCUCGAACCCCUCCGGGGGGUCGGCGUUGGGGAUCGGCCCUCCCUUAGCGGGUGGCCGUCUCCGAAAUACAGUGGCGGUCUCGCCGCAGCCUCUCCUGCGCAGUAGUUUGCACACUCGCAUCGGGAGCGCGGCGCGUCCACAGCCGUUAAACACCCAA